AGAGUUUGAUCCUGGCUCAGAACGUACGCUGGCGGCACGCCUAAUACAUGCAAGUCGAACGAAGUAGCAAUACUUAGUGGCAGACGGGUGAGUAACAUGUGGGUAUCUUCCCUUUGGUGAGGAAUAACACGAGGAAACUUGUGCUAAUACCUCAUAAGUCUUUACGGAGAAAGCUUUAUGCGCCAUUGGAUGAGCCCGCACUUGAUUAGUUUGUUGGUGGGGUAAUGGCCUACCAAGACUGUGAUCAAUAGCUGAUUUGAGAGGAUGAUCAGCCACAUUGGGACUGAGACACGGCCCAAACUCCUACGGGAGGCAGCAGUAGGGAAUCUUGCACAAUGGAGGAAACUCUGAUGCAGCGAUGCCGCGUGAGUGAAGAAGGCCUUUGGGUUGUAAAGCUCUUUCGUCGGGGAAGAAAAUGACUGUACCCGAAUAAGAAGGUCCGGCUAACUUCGUGCCAGCAGCCGCGGUAAUACGAAGGGACCUAGCGUAGUUCGGAAUUACUGGGCUUAAAGAGUUCGUAGGUGGUUAAAAUAGUUGGUGGUGAAAUCCCAGAGCUUAACUCUGGAACUGCCAUCAAAACUUUUUAGCUAGAGUAUGAUAGAGGAAAGCAGAAUUUCUAGUGUAGAGGUGAAAUUCGUAGAUAUUAGAAAGAAUACCAAUUGCGAAGGCAGCUUUCUGGAUCAUUACUGACACUGAGGAACGAAAGCAUGGGUAGCGAAGAGGAUUAGAUACCCUCGUAGUCCAUGCCGUAAACGAUGUGUGUUAGACGUUGGAAAUUUAUUUUUCAGUGUCGCAGCAAAAGCGAUAAACACACCGCCUGGGGAGUACGACCGCAAGGUUAAAACUCAAAUGAAUUGACGGGGACCCGCACAAGUAGUGGAGCAUGUGGUUUAAUUCGAAGAUACGCGCAGAACCUUACCAACACUUGACAUGUUCGUCGCGACUCUAAGAGAUUAGAGUUUUCGGUUCGGCCGGACGAAACACAGGUGCUGCAUGGCUGUCGUCAGCUCGUGUCGUGAGAUGUUGGGUUAAGUCCCGCAACGAGCGCAACCCUCACUUUUAGUUGCCAUCAUUAAGUUGGGCACUCUGAAAGAACUGCCAGUGAUAAGCUGGAGGAAGGUGGGGAUGACGUCAAGUCCUCAUGGCCCUUACGUGUUGGGCUACACACGUGCUACAAUGGUAUCUACAACAGGAAGCAAAACAGCGAUGUUAAGCAAAUCCCGAAAAGAUACCUCAGUUCGGAUUGCACUCUGCAACUCGAGUGCAUGAAGCUGGAAUUACUAGUAAUCGUGGAUCAGCGUGCCACGGUGAAUACGUUCCCGGGUCUUGUACACACCGCCCGUCACACCAUGGGAGUUGGUUCUACCUUAAGGCAAAGCUUAAAACCUUUGACCACGGUAUAGUCAGCGACUGGGGUGAAGUCGUAACAAGGUAACC
rnacentral:rRNA from 1 species